rnacentral:misc_RNA from 1 species
AAAAAUAAAUAAAUAAAUAUAUAAGGCGAUAAUCAGAAAAUACCAACAAGUGCUCAUCUGCCACAAAGUCCCACUCAUCAACAACACAUAGACCGCUAAAAAUUAAACCAUAUAAACAUCAAAACAAAAAAAGAAAAAUAAAUCGCAGUAUCAAAUAUUUCAGUUUCUGCACUAGAAUCCAAAAAGGGAGAACUUUUCAGCUUCAGACUACUUGAAAAUAUCCUAAAAUUCACAAAUCAGAAUGAAGAAGGGUUCUAAUCAUGCAACCAAAACAAAU